UAGAGGAUGAAGAAGAAAAUCAGGCUGUUGUCCCGCUGCUCCUCUG
rnacentral:snoRNA from 1 species